rnacentral:rRNA from 1 species
AUGGCCUCCCAGGAGCAGCCACCAAGUCUGCCGCCGCCGGCGGAACCCGCCGCUACCACCACUCUAACCGGCCUCGGCAGCGACCUCCUCCGUGAGAUAUUCCUCCUGCUCCCGUCCCUGCCGAGCCUCGUGCGCGCGGCCUUCGCCUGCCGCACCUUCCUCGACGCCGUGCGCUCGUCCCCGGCCUUCAGGCGCCGCUUCCGCGAGCUGCACCCGCAGCCGCUCCUGGGCAUCUUCUUCGACCCCGACGGCCCCGCCAUCCCGGCCUUCGCGCCCCUCCGCCGCCGCGACGACCCGGACCGGCGGGCCGCCGUCCGGCGCGGGGACUUCUUCCUCACCGGGCUCCCCGACGACGACGACGACGCGCGCCCCGGCUGGGUCAUCAGCGACUGCCACGACGGCUACCUGGUGCUCGAGCACAUCUACACGCGGGAGGCCCUCGCCUACAACCCGCUCACGCUGGCCCUGGAUCUCCUCCCGCCGCUGCCGGACGAGUUCUACGAGGGCUUCCAGGGCCACUACAACGGCCUCGACUACCACGUCCACGCCCCCGAGGAGUGCCGCGACCACGGGGCGUUCCGCGUGAUCUACGCCUGCCACGACGACUCGCGGGCGCGCGCGGCGGUCUUCUCGUCGGACUCGGGCACCAGGGCGUGACAGGUCCUCCCCUAUUCCGAAGCUCUGAGGACCAUCCCGGAGUCCGGCGAGCGCGAGCACUGGCUUACCGCUGGCAGGAUAGUGGACGGGUUCAUCUACUGGGUGUACUCGGAUGAAGCCGCCAUGCUCGUGCUCGACACCACCACGCUGCACUUCUCUCGGGUAGAUAUCCCAGCCUACUUGAAAGGACAGACCAGCAUGUUCAGGGUUGGCAAGACCAGGGAUGGGGUGCUCUGUGUCGUCGUCGCGAUCGAAUUCAACCUUUAUGUCUGGCUCCGGAACAUUCGCGAUGACGGCGUCGAGGUGUGGGUGAGAGGCCAGCGGUUUCAGUUGGACGACAUUGUUGAGGACACCGGGGGAACACUAGAGGAACACGGCCAGCUCAAGGUUGUGAGCGUUGUCGACGGAGUCGUCUACUUCUCUACCCAUGAGACCUUCGAAGAUGCCAAUCUUCCUUGCUGGUUCCUAUCCAUAGACCUGGAGGAAAACGUCCUGGACAUGCUCUUUCAGAGGAACUAUGACAGUCAUGUCCAUCCCUACAUUAUGCCUUGGCCCCGUUCUUUGGUACGCGACAAGGCGUGUCUUCAAGUUGAAGGCGCUCGAUGA